AACUGAAACUAUGACAAUCGUCUUUCAGAACUGAUAUGAAAUGAGAGUACUCAUUGCUGAUCACUG